rnacentral:rRNA from 1 species
AAUAGAUACCCCGGUAGUCCACGCCGUAAACGAUGAGUGCUAAGUGUUGGGGGGUUUCCGCCCCUCAGUGCUGCAGCUAACGCAUUAAGCACUCCGCCUGGGGAGUACGGUCGCAAGACUGAAACUCAAAGGAAUUGACGGGGGCCCGCACAAGCGGUGGAGCAUGUGGUUUAAUUCGAAGCAACGCGAAGAACCUUACCAGGUCUUGACAUCCCGGUGACCACUAUGGAGACAUAGUUUCCCCUUCGGGGGCAACGGUGACAGGUGGUGCAUGGUUGUCGUCAGCUCGUGUCGUGAGAUGUUGGGUUAAGUCCCGCAACGAGCGCAACCCUUAUUCUUAGUUGCCAUCAUUCAGUUGGGCACUCUAAGGAGACUGCCGGUGAUAAACCGGAGGAAGGUGGGGAUGACGUCAAAUCAUCAUGCCCCUCAUGACCUGGGCUACACACGUGCUACAAUGGACGGUACAAACGGUUGCCAACCCGCGAGGGGGAGCUAAUCCGAUAAAACCGUUCUCAGUUCGGAUUGUAGGCUGCAACUCGCCUAC